rnacentral:rRNA from 1 species
UACGUAGGGCGCAAGCGUUAUCCGGAAUUAUUUGGGCGUAAAGAGCUCGUAGGCGGUUUGUCGCGUCUGCCGUGAAAGUCCGGGGCUCAACUCCGGAUCUGCGGUGGGUACGGGCAGACUAGAGUGCGGUAGGGGAGAUUGGAAUUUCCUGGUGUAGCGGUGGAAUGCGCAGAUAUCAGGAGGAACACCAAUGGCGAAGGCAGAUCUCUGGGCCGUAACUGACGCUGAGGAGCGAAAGCAUGGGGAGCGAACAGG